rnacentral:rRNA from 1 species
ACGCUCGACACCUACGGGAGUCAGCAGUGGGGAAUAUUGCACAAUGGGGGAAACCCUGAUGCAGCGACGCCGCGUGAGCGAAGAAGUAUCUCGGUAUGUAAAGCUCUAUCAGCAGGGAAGAAGAUGACGGUACCUGACUAAGAAGCACCGGCUAAAUACGUGCAGCAGCCGCGGUAAUCUGAGCGGGCUGGCAAGGC